rnacentral:rRNA from 1 species
CGGCGGACGGGUGAGUAACACGUGGGUAACCUACCUAUAAGACUGGGACAACUUCGGGAAACCGGAGUUAAUACCGGAUAAGAUAUCGAACCGCAUGGUUCGAUAGUGAAAGAUGGUUUUGCUAUCACUUAUAGAUGGACCCGCGCCGUAUUAGCUAGUUGGUGAGGUAACGGCUCACCAAGGCAACGAUACGUAGCCGACCUGAGAGGGUGAUCGGCCACACUGGAACUGAGACACGGUCCAGACUCCUACGGGAGGCAGCAGAG